AUUGAACGCUGGCGGCAGGCCUAACACAUGCAAGUCGAGCGGCUGGGCGGACGGGUGAGUGAUACCUAGGCAUCUGACUGUUAGUGGGGGAUGACGUCCGGAAACGGGAGCUAAUGCCGCUACCUAUCAACAGAGCCUAUGCCGGAUGAGGUAGUUGGUGGGGUAACGGCCUACCAAGGCGACGAUCCGGAACUGGUCGGAGAGGAUGAUCAGUCACACUGGAACUGAGACACGGUCCAGACUCCUACGGGAGGCAGCAGUGGGGAAUAUUGGACAAUGGGCGAAAGCCUGAUCCAGCCAUGCCGCGUGUGUGAAGAAGGUCUUCGGAUUGUAAAGCACUUUCAGUGGGGAGGCGUUACCAGCAGAAUAAGCACCGGCUAACUUCGUGCCAGCAGCCGCGGUAAUUC
rnacentral:rRNA from 1 species